rnacentral:rRNA from 1 species
AUUGAACGCUGGCGGCAGGCCUAACACAUGCAAGUCGAGCGAGCGGCGGACGGGUGAGUAAUGUAUGGGGAUCUGCCUGAUAGAGGGGGAUAACUACUGGAAACGGUGGCUAAUACCGCAUACCAUCAGAUGAACCCAUAUGGGAUUAGCUAGUAGGUGGGGUAAAGGCUCACCUAGGCGACGAUCCCUAGCUGGUCUGAGAGGAUGACCAGCCAGACGGGAACUGAGACACGGCCCAGACUCCUAAGGGAGGAAGCAGUGGGGAAUAUUGCACAAUGGGCGCAAGCCUGAUGCAGCCAUGCCGCGUGUAUGAAGAAGGCCUUAGGGUUGUAAAGUACUUUCAGCGGGGAGGCGUUACCCGCAGAAGAAGCACCGGCUAACUCCGUGCCAGCAGCCGCGGUAAUAC